rnacentral:rRNA from 1 species
AGCGAACGCUGGCGGCAGGCUUAACACAUGCAAGUCGAGCGGGCAUCCCUGUGGUGUCUGCGGCAGACGGGUUAGUAACGCGUGGAAACGUGCCCUUCGGUGCGGAAUAACUCAGGGCAACUUGAGCUAAUACCGGAUACGUUCGAGAGCAGAAAGGGUUGUCUGCCGAAGGAGCGGCCCGCGUCUGAUUAGCUUGUUGGGGGGGUUAUGGCUCACCAAGGCGACGAUCAGUAGCUGGUCUGGGAGGAUGAUCAGCCACACUGGGACUGAGACCCGGCCCAGACUCCUACGGGAGGCAGCAGUGGGGAAUAUUGAACCAUGGGGGCAACGCUGAUCCAGCCAUGCCGCGUGAGUGAUGACGGCCUUAGGGUUGUAAAGCUCUUUUCUUCGGGACGAUAAUGACGGUACCGGAGGAAUAAGCCCCGGCUAACUUCGUG